UAAUAACCCAUUUUUUUUUUUAUUCAGCCGAUGAAUAUAAACGGGACUGUUAUUUAAACUUUAGUUUUCAAGCUCAAUUACUUAGUUGAAGUUGAACGAUCAUUCUAUCUACAUUACAGUCGCACAGAAUGAAGAUCUCACUUGCGCUUUUGGUUGUGAUCAGUGCAUUUGUUGCCCUAGUCAGUUCAGGAGUUGUGAAACCUUUGAAACGGAGGGGCACCGAUGAGAUUAUAUGCAACGGAUCAGGAUGUUCUUUUCCGCAAAAGGACUACGGACAAGUGGUGACGCCGAUUGUGCCAACGCUGAAGCCUCGAGUAAGAAUAAUGGAGGUGGCCCCGAUCCAGAUGAAUCUAGAUACUUCAACGGAAAGUUGAAAGUUAUUAGCCAAUAAGUAAAAUAUUGUGAAAUAAGUUCUUUGAAACAGAAAUCAUAGUUAGAAAUCACAUAAUUCUGAAUCAAUUCAUAUUGAAAUUUAAAUGAAAGUAUUUUAAUUAAGUGGUAAUUUUAUAGUUUGAAAUGAGAAGUGAAUAAAACAUCUUGAAGUUUAGGAAGGUCAA